UGUGUCCUACGGGACGCAGCAGUGGGGAAUAUUGCGCAAUGGGCGAAAGCCAGACGCAGCGAAGCCGCGUGAGGGAUGAAGGUCUUCGGAUCGUACAACUCUGUCAGCAGGGAAGAACGGUCACUGUGCUAAUCAGCAGUGAAUUGACGAUACCUGCAAAGGAAGCACCGGCUAACUCCGUGCCAGCAGCCGCGGUAAUACGGAGGGUGCGAGCGUUAAUCGGAAUUACU
rnacentral:rRNA from 1 species